rnacentral:rRNA from 1 species
CGGCGGCCAUAGCGAGAGGGAAACGCCCGGUCACAUUCCGAACCCGGAAGCUAAGACUCUUUGCGCCGAUGGUACUGCAGGGGGGACCCUGUGGGAGAGUAGGACACCGCCGGACU